ACUGAAUAGAUACCCCGGUAGUCCUAGCCGUAAACGAUGAGAACUAGGUGUGGGGGGUAAACCGUACCGUGCCGACGCCAAACGCAUUAAAGUUCUCCGCCUGGGGACUACGGCCGCAAGGUUAAAACUCAAAGGAAUUGACGGGGGCCCGGCACAAGCGGUGGAGCAUGUGGUUCAAUUCGAUGCAAACGCGAGGAACCUUACCUGGGCUUGACAUCCCGUGCAAUCCGAUGAAAGUCGGGUUCCGUAGCAAUACGGCGCGGAGACAGGUGGUGCAUGGCUGUCGUCAGCUCGUGUCGUGAGAUGUUGGGUUAACGUCCCGCAACGAGCGCCAACCCCUGCCGAUUAGUUGCCAUCAUUAAGGUUGGGAACUCUAGUCGGGACUGUCGGUAACAAGCCGAAGGAAGGUGGGAUGACGUCAAGUCAUCAUCGCCCCUUAU
rnacentral:rRNA from 1 species